CUGGGCAACAAGAGCAAAACUCAGUCUCAAUAAAAUAAAAUAAUAAAAUAAAAUAAAUUUGUCACUAUGGGAUGCUAAUUGCUUUUCUCUUUGAAUUAAUCUGCCUUAUGCUCUUUGCUAGUGGCUGUAGGUGACAGGAUUAGGCAUAUACUUGAUCAUGGGACAUGAGGAUCUUUUUUCUCCCCAGAGGGGAAAACGAGAGCUGAUGUGACCACUGGAAAAGAUCCCUUUGUGACUGACAAGGAGCUGCCUGAACAUUUGAUUCAGUGUCGCUAUGAGGGGUGGGUUUUCUCUGACCCCUUUGGGCUGCUCGCCUUCCCUACCCUGCUGCAGGCAAUGCUUUUCUCCCUUUCUCUCCUUUCACUUUCCUAUCUUUUCUGUUACUCAGGGUGACUGUCCACUCUUCCAUCUUUCUCAGAUACCAAAAGUUGAAACUCCCGGUCGGUGGAGAUCAUUCCACCCCACUUUGAGUGGAUUAAAGAUAAUGGGGUACCAAUGGGGGCAAGUUUGAACCUUGCCAGGUCUAUAUUGGGUGCUGAGUGGAGUGGCUAAGUGUCUAUGUUUUGUCAUAUGUAUUUUGUUCUGGCUGGGAUUAAAAAAAUGUUAAUUUGGUUCCCCCAUGCAGCCCAUUGGGCAGCAUCUUGCAAAAUUGAGAGGCUUUUGCCUAUGGUUCCAUGAAACAGAAAAAUAUGUUUUUCCUUAGUGAUGUGGCUUGGCCCACAUGGCCAUGGUGCAGCGAGCAGGGUCGCUAGGACCACUCAGGGAAAGGGAACCCAGAAACCUGGCAUGCUGGCAAAAGCAUAAGAAUUUUUUACCAGUCAGACUUCUGGCCUCUCAAUAUCUCUCUCUCUCUCUCGUUUUCUCUCUCACUCUUUCUGUGCAAACAGGUUGAAUGAAUGGUAAAAAUCACUAUUUAUCUCCUCUAUAAAAUUUUGAUUAAUGGGAAAAAGGAUUUGUGAGACUAGUCUUAGGCUGUAGCAAAUCUGGUGUACUUUGCACUAUGAAUUUGUCUUUGUGUGUAGUUCUGUUAUAAAAGGGGUUACCUAUAAGCCUUCUAUUUAAGCUGUACCAGCAAACUGACCAGUUACAAAGUUUGUUGCAGAUUCCUGAAACAAAAAGUAGGUAAAGUUUCCUUCUCGUCUUGUUUUAUGUCCUUGGGAGCUUGACCUUGUGAGUAUAUGGGGAUACUUUCUCUUGGUCUCCACUAUCUAGAGGGUGAAAAUUUUGGGGUUCAUGUCAACAGUUGGCCUAAAAAUUAUAGGCCACUGAAAAUUUUGGCCAAAACCACAAUUACUUUUGCAUGAACCUAGUAUCUUGGGCUCUUAAAAACCUUUGUAAGCUCAAAAUUGGCUGCUCUAGGUUCCUUCUAGGAAGGGCAAUAAACACUGUCCAGUGCUGUAGCUCAGAAGCUAAGGCUUUGCCAUUUCACAAUGGUGACUUGGGUUCAAUUCCCAGCUUAGAGAAUGUACUUUCUGUUUGAUAUUUGUGUGAUCUUUGCCAUUUGUUGAUUCUCCUCACCUUCAUGAACAACUUCUGACUUUCCAGCUUGAAUUUUCCUUUCUCUGAGCUACCUUUGAAGACUCUAGAUCUUGUAAAAACUGCUUACCACCUCUUUGAAAAUACCUCAUACACUCAUGGUUAAGUCAUAAACUUAGUUAAGGCUUAUUGUUUCACCUAGGAAGCUACCUUUAAUAAAGUUCAAAAGCCAGAAAUACUGGCUGUAGGUCCUUACUAGAGUCUAGUAAUAAGAGAUCUGGUUAAACGUCAGCUUAAGUUAAAGCAGAUUAUCCAAGCUAUACAUAUAUUUAAAAGGUCUUUAUGGCUCCCCACCACCCCCACGCCCCAGUUGAAUCUUGUUUUUCUGAAAAAAAAAGCUAUUUUCUUCUCAGUUGACUGAAUUGUUUUUCUCCAUUUUAUCUUCUUGCCACUGUUGACACCCAAAUGAGAGGACCUAAGAUAAUUUCUAACAGCCUGGGACUCCUGGGGAAAAGCAGAGGAGGAGCCACAGACUCCAUUUUGGAAAAACUUCUGAUUUCCUCAUGGAACCCCAAGAAGUGAAAGUGGAUGGAUCCCUCUCAAAAUCUAAGGUUCUGUUCUGUUUUGCAUUGAGUUACCUGACAUCUUUGAUGUUGAUGGGUAUCAGAAAUUACUGUGCAUUAUGAGAGAGCUUUAAUGGUAAUAACUAGGUAGGAAAUAUACUUUUAGGGAUGGCUAGUGGCAAUUAUGGGGGGAUACUCGGCUUUUUGCCUGUUUGGAUCAGGGAAGCAUGCUCUUCGCCACAUAGAAGGUAUGGAUACAUCCCUACCCACUGCCACUGAAAAGUAAGAUCCCCAUGGAGGAUGAGCUGAAGUCCCUCUUUUUGGUAUCCAGGACCUGGUGUAAGAAUUGAACCCUCAAUUUUCAGCAAUCUGUUUUUGCCUUCCAGCUGUGCCUUCUUAUUUGGCCAUAGAAACUGCAUGCUUCCUGGCCCUGUUUGUCGGAGGGCUCUACCCAGAAGCCAGUAAUCUAAUUAAAAAAUGUAAAAACUGGGAAAUGAAAAAUUUUACAAGUACUGGAUUCUCUUCUGUUUCUGUAUUUUUAUGUAUUAUGUGUGUGAUGUUUAUAUAUGAGAGCUCUGAUUAAUUGGCUUAAAAAUAAGCACUUAUGUAUCAAAGAUUUUCUCAGAAAAAUAAAGACUUUAAUGCCUUUUAGUUCAUGUGACUUUAGUAAUCUUUAGGAAAUAAAGACACUUUUAAAGAUUAUUAGUAAAGUAAAAAUGUUUUCAAAAUUUAGACAGUUGGUCUAAAUUAGGUCACAUAUUAGAUUUGAUAAAUGCCUUAAUGUCAUAAACUACUUCUUUAAUUUGAUAAUUGUUCAAAUUACUUGCCUUGGAGCCACUAAAUUCCAGAUAAGGCAGGGGACAUGUGGAGUUAGCUAUGCCCCCUAACUAUGCUGGAAAGACUCAGACCUUAUCUGUACUUCUGUCUGGUGUCCUAGGCUCCACAUCUGGUACAUAAAUAAAAUCACUUACUUGCCAGAGUUUUUACCAACAUAGAAGUUGCUAAGAGUUAAUACUGAAACAUAUAUAAUUGAGACUACUAGCAAAAUAGUUUUACAUGCAAGGUGUGUAAGGAAAGUAAAAUGUGUUUUAGUACAAGAUUUUAAAAAGGCAUGGGAAUAUGGAAUUUUUGUGUGUGCCUAGUUUAGAAAGUUAGUCUAGAACUAAACAGUUGAGCAAGAUGUGGAAGGUUUGUGAGAAGUUAAUCUUGUAAAAAAAUUCUGUAUGUGAACCUAUUGACUAAAGUUAAAGGAAUAUUAUUCAAUUUUUAAAUAAAUUGAACAUCAAAAUAAAAGCACAACAGGGUUUUCUUAGAAUAUUGAUCUACUCUUUCUCUCUUUUUUUUUUUUUUUUCUGGAGGCAGGGUCUCACUGUAUCACCCAGACCAGAGUGCAGUGGCACGAUCACAGCCCUCUGCAGCCGCCACCUCUUGGGCUAAAGUGAUUCUCCCUCCUUAGCCUCCCUAGUAGCUGGAACUACAGGUGUGCACCUCCAUGCCUGGCUAAUUUUUGCAUUUUUUUUGUAGAGAUGGGGUUUUGUCAUGUUUCCCAUGCAGGUCUCCAACUCCUAGGCUAAGGAAUCCACUCACCUUGACCUCUCAAAGUAGUUGGAUUAUAGGCAUGGCCACUGUGCCUGGCCUCAGCUAAUUUUUUGUAUUUUUCAUAGAGACAGGGCUUUGUCAUUUUGCCUAGGCUGGCCUUGAACUUCUGGGCACAAGCAACCUGCCCAUUCAGACUCCCAAAGUGCUGAGAUUACAAAUAUAGAGCCACCACGCCUGGCCAGAUCUGCUGUUUAACAGAAAAUUGUUAAAAGGUUUAUGAGACUCUUACCUCAUGGUCAAACUGAUUAAGGUUGAAUACUUUGUCUAUAAGGUUUUAUUAAGAUUUGGAUUUGACAUUGAUAGUACUCUAAUGCAAAGGUGAAAUUUGGCUUUCUCUCAAACAAAAUUUUCAUGUAAUAUUAAAAGAUAAUGAAAGAUUUCUGUUUGCCUUUUGAAUAAACUACAAGAAAAAGAAGGGAGAAAAGAGACAGAUUGUCUGGAAAAUGAAGUCUUCCUUUUAUCAAUGAAUACAGGUUUUUGCCUUUAAAAAAUUUUUCAGUUAUCAUUUUGGCUAAUUAAAUGACUAAUGGUGACAUGAAAUUUUAUUUUACAAGUAUUUUAAAACUUUGAUACUUGACAAACUUUCCAAAAUCAAAUUCUAAGUGAUGUCUUUUUCUUACCUAAUUAACCUUAUAGAUACUAAGUCCCCUAAAGUCCAAAAAUGACAUAUUUGGAUUAUUUUGGUAUAUUAAAAUCAUACAGGUAGCAUUGUCAAAUAUGAAAUGGUGUUUGGUUUUCUUUAGGUUGCAUUUGUAUAAGUAUGUUAUUGGUAUGUGUUCCAAAAUUAUGAGAAACCCCUGUAAUUCUGAUAUGACUUGGUAUAUGUUUUGAGGAAUAAAUAUAAUUGUUAUGUUAAAUUGUUGUGUACCACAGAAGUAACCAAAUUUUCUUAUCAAUUUUGUCUUUGAUUGUGACUGCCCUAAGACUUCUUGUCAUCCAUAGACAAUUGUUUUCUUAUUUUGAUCCUCCUUCAAAAGACAGUUUAUAAUUAGCGAUACCACUCUCAUGAGUACUCCUAAACAUAGUCUGUGAUAAUUUUGGAAAGUGUGCUAUUAAAAUAAAGAGGAAAGAACUUCCAAGAUUCUCUUGGAAAACGAAUGUGUUCACAAAUGUCGAGCAAAACAGGAAUUAACUGCAUAGGCUAAACUAAUAAAAGGCCAAAGUAAUCUUUUUAUGACUUUUUGUUUAAAACAUUGCUGAUCCUUUCUGUUUUGGUUUUCAGAGUCAAGAAAACUUUUUUCUUUUUAGCUAUUUAUGGCUUUUAGCAGUUAAGUAAAGUAUACUCCUAUAAAUAAAUUUUGGAGCAUAUCUCUCUCCACCUGAUUUUUCCAGAAUUUGGAAACUAUUUGUGAGUAUUUGUAUGAUGAUAUAGUUAUUUGCAAAAGUACAAUAAGAAUCUGUUUUCUUUUGUAAUAGGACACAAUUGGAGAAAUUGUUUUUGUUUUUUUUCUUACCAAGGCUUUGACUGGAAUGGCAUGCUUUCACAUAUAAACAUCCUGCUCUAAGGAAUCAAAGUUGACUUAUAGAGCUAAUAAAAGCCCCUUGGAAAAACUAGCUUCAUACCUUGCCUAUGCAUUCCCUGUACAGGAUUCUUGACCUGUGGCUAGAGGUGAACACUUAACCAUGAGUAGAAGCUCUGGAGAUGAAAAAGUAUUAGAAAAACACAGAUAACAAAGAAUCAACAGAGCGCUUGGAUAUUUAUGUUCAUGGCAUGUGUAUAUAUUUUACAUGUAUCAAGAUUAAGACAAAAAGGUUGCCCCCUUCAGCAUGUCGAGUCAUGUGAGGGUGGCUACCCUCUGGGGCUGCAGCUUUCUCACUUUGGAAGACUUAUGAGUUUUUUCCUGUGCCCUGUACAGUGAAGAACAAAGAAACUAGUGACAGUUUGAUGAGAAACAGAUAUACACAUAGCUUCAAAGAAUCUCUCCAUAAAGUACUUAUUCAUUAUAAAAGGAAAAAAAUAAUUUCAUAGGGAAGAAACCUGGUGGAUGACAUCUUAAUCAAGUGAUCAAAGUUACCACCACGACUAAUGACACAAACCAACAUUAUAUGCCUCCUGAUGUGAUGUGACAUGCUAGAAAGAAAACAACAUCAUUUAUACGGUAUUUCUGCCAGAGAAACAUAAUCUGCAUUUUCAUGUUAAAGUGAAGUCGAUUAUACAUAGCAUUGUUAAAAGUGAUUUUGGAGUUUUUCUCUUCAUACAAUUUUAAGGUUGUAAAGUUGACAGUCUGUUUUUAAUUCACUUUUACAAGUUGUAAAUGUUUUGCAAAUAUGUUUCUUUCCUGUAAGAUUUAUUUCUUAGCUGGUUAACCUAGACAAAUUGAUUUCCCAGAGGUUACUUUGUUUAAUGUUAUGGUACCUAUACACUAAAUAAUCUAUAAGGAUAAGACAAUAUACUUUGAUGUUUAUUUUACAUAUUUAUAAACAUUUUUGACUCAAAUUAUGAAAAAGUUUUUCCUAAAAUUUUCUAGUGGAUGUGCUGUCUCUUAACAUUCUCCUUAGCUGUCAAUUGAUUUCCUUGUUUAACUAUUUUAAAGUUCUUUAUAAUAGUUGUUAUUCAUAAAUCAAGUGCUUUUACUCUUACAAUAAAAAUAUACACUUAUAUUUCCACUCACAAUGCACUUAAAGAAAACUUUCAGUCCUGGUUACAUUUAAAAUAGUUACCUACAUUUAUUUUAUAUUGACAAUAUCUGAAUCAAAAACCCACUGAUAGCAUCUACUAAAGCUGAACAUUCACACAUUGCAUGAAAUAGGAAAGGAGGGCUUAUGUCCUCCAAUAGGUGUGUUCAUAGCAGUUUAGUAUAAAAUCCCCAAACUGCCUAUCAACAGUAGUGUCUCUCAAUAGGAGAAUGUAUAAGGACAUUUUAGUAUACUUAUACAAUCAAGCAGUGGAAAAAAAUAAACUAUUGCUUUAUGCACCAACAUGGAUAAAUAUCACAGACCUAUUGAUAAAUGAAAGAAGUCAGAAAUGAAAAGGCUGAAAAUUGUAUGAGCCAUGUAUGUGAAAAUCAAGAACAGACAAAACCAAUCUACAGUGACAGAUGUCAGAAUGAUGGUUACCUUUAGAGUUUAUUGAGUGCAAGAAUAUGGGUGUAGCCUUCUGGGAUGUUGAAAAUAUUCUCUAUGUUGAUUUGGGUAUGGCUUAAAAGGAUUUAUGCAUGUCUAGAAAGUUAUCAAGCUGUGCAAUUAAGACCUAUGUAUUUUAUUAUAUGUAAUCUAUACCAUAUUUCAAUAAAAAUAUGAAUACCUUU